AGAGAGAGACAUGCGCGCAUAUCAAUAAGCGGAGGAAAAGAAACUAACAAGGAUUCCCUUAGUAACGGCGAGUGAAGCGGGAAGAGCUCAAAUUUGAAAUCUUCAAGGUUUUACCUUGACGAAUUGUAGUUUAAAGAAGUGUUUUCUGCUGGAGUUUUGGUAAAAGUUCUUUGGAAUAGGACAUCAUAGAGGGUGAGAAUCCCGUAUUUGACCAUUAUUUUCAGCUUUGUGAUACACUUUCAAAGAGUCGGAUUGUUUGGGAAUGCAGUCCAAAAUGGGUGGUAAAUUUCAUCUAAAGCUAAAUAUUGGCGAGAGACCGAUAGCGAACAAGUACCGUGAGGGAAAGAUGAAAAGAACUUUGAAAAGAGAGUUAAACAGUACGUGAAAUUGUCAAAAGGGAAGCGUUUGACACCAGUGUUGUUUUCUCGAAAAUCAAUUAAAAAUGGCUCGAUUUUGUAUUGUUGGGACCUUAAAAGCUCACUGUACAUUUUUCGUGUCUUUUUUAAUGCACUUUUCGUUUAACAAGUCAACAUCAGUUUCUUUUGUUGUAAAAGGGUCAUUGGAAGGUGGCUUUCUUUUCGGAGAAAGUGUUUAUAGCCUUUGGCCUCUGCAAUCGGAGAGACUGAGGUCUGCAGCGUAGACUCUUCGGGGUUAGAUACAUUUGUGCUGAGUUAUAGCUUUUUAUAGACAACUUGUUGACUAUAAUUAGUCUUGUAGCUUACUCGCUUAUGCUAUUUUACCUACGCUUAGGAUGUUGAAGAUGUAGCACAUCAU
rnacentral:rRNA from 1 species